rnacentral:pre_miRNA from 1 species
GAUAUACUCCCUCCGUUCGGAAUUACUUGUCUCGAAAAUGGAUGUAUCUAGAACUAAAAUACAUCUAGAUACAUCCAUUUCUGCGACAAGUAAUUCCGAACGGAGGGAGUACUAC